rnacentral:rRNA from 1 species
GACGAACGCUGGCGGCGUGCUUAACACAUGCAAGUCGAACGGAAAGGCCCUGCUUUUGUGGGGUGCUCGAGUGGCGAACGGGUGAGUAACACGUGAGUAACCUGCCCUUGACUUUGGGAUAACUUCAGGAAACUGGGGCUAAUACCGGCUAGGAGCUCCUGCUGCAUGGUGGGGGUUGGAAAGUUUCGGCGGUUGGGGAUGGACUCGCGGCUUAUCAGCUUGUUGGUGGGGUAGUGGCUUACCAAGGCUUUGACGGGUAGCCGGCCUGGGAGGGUGACCGGCCACAAUGGGACUGAGAGACGGCCCAGACUCCUACGGGAGGCAGCAGGGGGGAAUAUUGCACAAUGGGCGGAAGCCUGAUGCAGCAACGCCGCGUGCGGGAUGACGGCCUUCGGGUUGUAAACCGCUUUCGCCUGUGACGAAGCGUGAGUGACGGUAAUGGGUAAAGAAGCACCGGCUAACUACGUG